AGUGGCGGACGGGUGAGUAACGCGUGAGAAUCUGCCUUGGGGUCGGGGACAACCACUGGAAACGGUGGCUAAUACCGGAUAAGCCGAUUGGUGAAAGAUUUAUUGCCCGAAGAGGAGCUCGCGUCUGAUUAGCUAGUUGGUGAGGUAAGAGCUCACCAAGGCAGCGAUCAGUAGCUGGUCUGAGAGGACGAUCAGCCACACUGGGACUGAGACACGGCCCAGACUCCUACGGGAGGCAGCAGUGGGGAAUUUUCCGCAAUGGGCGAAAGCCUGACGGAGCAAGACCGCGUGAGGGAGGAAGGCUCUUGGGUUGUAAACCUCUUUUCUCAGGGAAGAAGCUCUGACGGUACCUGAGGAAUCAGCCUCGGCUAACUCCGUGCCAGCAGCCGCGGUAAUACGGAGGAGGCAAGCGUUAUCCGGAAUUAUUGGGCGUAAAGCGUCCGCAGGUGGCGAUUCAAGUCUGCUGUCAAAGCACGGGGCUUAACUCCGUAAAGGCAGUGGAAACUGAAUAGCUAGAGUGCCGCAGGGGUAGAGGGAAUUCCCGGUGUAGCGGUGAAAUGCGUAGAGAUCGGGAAGAACAUCGGUGGCGAAAGCGCUCUACUGGACGGCAACUGACACUCAGGGACGAAAGCUAGGGGAGCGAAUGGGAUUAGAUACCCC
rnacentral:rRNA from 1 species